rnacentral:rRNA from 1 species
CAGGAUGACGGCCCUAUGGGUUGUAAACUGCUUUUAUGUGGGGAUAAAGUGCGUGACGUGUCAUGCAUUGCAGGUACCACAUGAAUAAGGACCGGCUAAUUCCGUGCCAGCAGCCGCGGUAAUACGGAAGGUCCGGGCGUUAUCCGGAUUUAUUGGGUUUAAAGGGAGCGUAGGCUGUCUAUUAAGCGUGUUGUGAAAUUUACCGGCUCAACCGGUGGCUUGCAGCGCGAACUGGUCGACUUGAGUAUGCAGGAAGUAGGCGGAAUUCAUGGU